CCUUAAUACAUGGCUGAAGGAAGCUCUA
rnacentral:piRNA from 1 species